AACGAACGCUGGCGGCGUGCCUAACACAUGCAAGUCGAACGGGAAACUUCCCGCUUGCGGGAGGGAGUAAAGUGGCGCACGGGUGAGUAACGCGUGGGUAACCUGCCCUUGAAUCUGGGAUAACUCUGCGAAAGCGGUGCUAAUACCGGAUAUGGUUUCGAAGACUUCGGUUUUCGGGAUUAAAGGUGACCUCUUCAUGAAAGUUGCCGUUUAAGGAUGGGCCCGCGUACCAUUAGCUUGUUGGUAGGGUAAUGGCCUACCAAGGCUACGAUGGUUAGCUGGUCUGAGAGGAUGAUCAGCCACACUGGAACUGAAACACGGUCCAGACUCCUACGGGAGGCAGCAGUGAGGAGUUUUGCGCAAUGGGGGAAACCCUGACGCAGCAACGCCGCGUGAGCGAAGAAGGCCUUUGGGUCGUAAAGCUCUGUCAAGUGGGAAAAACNUCUACCGGUCAAUAGCCGGUAGAUCUGAUGGUACCAUUGAAGGAAGCACCGGCUAACUCCGUGCCA
rnacentral:rRNA from 1 species